rnacentral:rRNA from 1 species
UAAUACGGAGGGGGCAAGCGUUGUUCGGAAUUAUUGGGCGUAAAGGGCGCGUAGGCGGCCAUGCAAGUCGGUUGUGAAAUCCCUUGGCUCAACCAAGGAACUGCGUCCGAAACUGCAUGGCUCGAGUCCGGGAGAGGGUAGUGGAAUUCCCAGUGUAGCGGUGAAAUGCGUAGAUAUUGGGAGGAACACCGGUGGCGAAGGCGGCUACCUGGACCGGAACUGACGCUGAGGCGCGAAAGCUAGGGGAGCAAACAGGAUUAGAUACCCUGGUAGUCCUAGCUGUAAACGAUGAGCACUUGGUGUAGCGGGUAUUGACCCCUGCUGUGCCGAAGCUAACGCAUUAAGUGCUCCGCCUGGGGAGUACGGUCGCAAGGCU